rnacentral:tRNA from 1 species
GGAGAGGUGCCAGAGUCCGGUUGAAUGGGCUUCCCUGCUAAGGAAGUGAUGGGUUUACACCUAUCCGUGGGUUCGAAUCCCACCCUCUCCGCCA